rnacentral:ncRNA from 1 species
UUUAAAUUUAAUUCUAAUUUUAAAGUUAAGUUUAUUUUUUAUUUAUAUGUAAGUUUUUGUAUUAAUAUAUUUAAAUUUAAAGAAUUUAAAUUUUAGAAUUUAUUCGCAGUAUGAAAUAUUAUAAAUUAAAGAAUUUUUGAUUUAGAAAUAUAUAAUAGUAUUAACUUAAUUUGUGCCAGCAGUUGCGGUUAUACAAAUAAUACAAUUUAAUUUUAUUAGUUUGUAAUUAAGAAAUUAUUAAUAUAAAUUUAAUUUAAAUUUUGUAAGUGAAAUUUAAAAUUUAAUUAAUUUUAAUUGAAUUAAUUUGAAGUUAUUAAAUUUUAUUAAUAAACUAGGAUUAGAUACCCUAUUAUUUAAAAUGUAAAUUUUAAAAACUAAAUUAGUAAUAGUUAUAUUCUUGAAAUUUAAAGAAUUUGGCGGUAUUUUAGUCUUUUCAGAGGAACCUGCCCUGUAAUCGAUAAUCCACGAUUAAUUUUACUUAUUUUAAUAGUUUGUAUACCGUCGUAGUGGAAUAUUUUAAAAGAAAUAAAAAUAUUCAAUAUUUUUUAUAAAAAAAUAAAUCAGAUCAAGGUGCAGUUUAUAAAUAAGAAGAGGUGUGUUACAAUAAAUAUAUUUAUAUGGUUUAAAAAUUGAAAUUUUUUUUUUAAAGUGGAUUUGAAAGUAAUAUAAUUUAUUUAAAUUAUAUGAUUUAAGCUCUAAAAUAUGCACAUAUCGCCCGUCACUCCUAUUUUUAAAAUAGGAUAAGUCGUAACAAAGUAGGUGUACUGGAAAGUGUACCUAGAAUCAC